CGGCGGGACACCCUUCCCCAACGAAGGGCUUUUAGCUGGAAGGCUGACAUGA
rfam:Paracoccus sediminis strain DSM 26170 genome assembly, contig: Ga0170460_102